rnacentral:rRNA from 1 species
UGAGGAAUAUUGGUCAAUGGGCGGGAGCCUGAACCAGCCAAGCCGCGUGAGGGAAGAAGGUACAGCGUAUCGUAAACCUCUUUUGUCAGGGAACAAAGGCGGGGACUAGUCCCCGGAUGAGGGUACCUGAAGAAAAAGCAUUGGCUAACUCCGUGCC